GUAGGGAAUCUUGCGUAAUGGGCGAAAGCCUGACGCAGCCAUGCCGCGUGAAUGAUGAAGGUCUUAGGAUUGUAAAAUUCUUUCACCGGGGACGAUAAUGACGGUACCCGGAGAAGAAGCCCCGGCUAACUUCGUGCCAGCAGCCGCGGUAAUACGAAGGGGGCUAGCGUUGCUCGGAAUUACUGGGCGUAAAGGGAGCGUAGGCGGAUAGUUUAGUCAGAGGUGAAAGCCCAGGGCUCAACCUUGGAAUUGCCUUUGAUACUGGCUAUCUUGAGUAUGGAAGAGGUAUGUGGAACUCCGAGUGUAGAGGUGAAAUUCGUAGAUAUUCGGAAGAACACCAGUGGCGAAGGCGACUACCUGGACUGAUACUGACACUGAGGUGCGAAAGCGUGGGGAGCAAACAGGAUUAGAUACCCGGGUAGUCC
rnacentral:rRNA from 1 species